rnacentral:rRNA from 1 species
AUUGAACGCUGGCGGCAUGCCUUACACAUGCAAGUCGAACGGUAACGGGCCUUCGGGUGCCGACGAGUGGCGAACGGGUGAGUAAUACAUCGGAACGUGCCCGAUCGUGGGGGAUAACGAGGCGAAAGCUUUGCUAAUACCGCAUACGAUCUACGGAUGAAAGCAGGGGACCGCAAGGCCUUGCGCGGACGGAGCGGCCGAUGGCAGAUUAGGUAGUUGGUGGGAUAAAAGCUUACCAAGCCGACGAUCUGUAGCUGUUCUGAGAGGAUGAUCAGCCACACUGGGACUGAGACACGGCCCAGACUCCUACGGGAGGCAGCAGUGGGGAAUUUUAGACAAUGGGCGCAAGCCUGAUCCAGCCAUGCCGCGUGCAGGAUGAAGGCCUUCGGGUUGUAAACUGCUUUUGUACGGAACGAAAAGCCUUCUUUUAAUACAGGAGGGUCAUGACGGUACCGUAAGAAUAAGCACCGGCUAACUACGUG